GUCUUGGCCGGUCCUCCACUUUUCUGCCUGCGGACUACAUUUCCCAUAAGUUCAGGGGUUCGAGACCGCUUUUCGCGCUUUCUUUCCUGCACCAGAGUUUGUGGGACUGUCUCCCUGGUCGGGGGAGGACUUGAGAAAAAUACUCUACUCCAUACUGGUACAGUCAAGGCUUCCUCACCACUCAUCAACCCUUGCUUCCAGAUACAUGGCCAUUUUCCGGGGAGGAGCAGGACAUCAACAUUUCACAUCCUACCCCCACCUGCCUAUUGCUCAGGAAAAUGCAGCGAAGGGAUAGAGAUUUUCUUCUGUCUAGCAGCCACACACAAAGUGUAAUGUGUACCCUGGUUGUGGCACUGGUAAGAAUACCAGGGUUCCAGUUGGCUGCCUUGGAUCAUGGGAGAGGAUCAGGGAUCAUGCCGAGAGCAAACUGCAACCACAGGCUGCUGCACCUCGCGCCCCCCCGCCAUCUACUAAGCACUCAGUUCUUAAGAGUGAAGCAUGCUAUUGUCCCUAACCCAAGCACUGGAUCUGGGGCUCAGUGAUUUUGUCCAGGGAAAAAGCAGGCCACAGACAAGAGCUCAUUCGUAACUAUGGAAAAGUUCAAGCCUAAGGACAUCCUCAAAAACAGUGAAGUUUUGGUAAAAGACUAUUAGGAGAAAACUGAAGACUCACUGGAGGUAUUUGAUUUUCACAGGCAGUAUAUACAUGUAUUUUUUCCCCUUAACUAUUUUGAGUAUUAACUGUAUAAAAUAAUGUAUUAUUGGGCCUAUAACAUAUAAGAGUAUAAUAUUUUUGCUAAUAACAUAAAGGAGGUAGGUAAAAGCAAAG